rnacentral:misc_RNA from 1 species
UGGGAUCGUCUCCUUUAUUCUCGCGAUCGUCCGAGAAAUGCAUUGCGCGCGUAGUAUCGCGAUUCUGUUCCGGUGAUGUGAUUGCGGUGUUUUUUUUUUUUUUAACGUUUUACAGUUUAAAAUUCAAAAAACAACAGCCAAGAAUCGAAUUUUUGCAUUUCGAGUGUCCGGAUACAUAAUAACACAAGUGAAUUCCAGAGACGCCCAAAAUGCUGUGGAAGUUUUUGGCCGUGUGCUUUCUGGCAGCCCUAAUUAAGGCUGACGGAUCGCUGCUGGACGGUGGCGUGAACCCCAUACAAGAUGAAUCCAGCGCGGACUCUGGCAAAGACGAAUCUGGCGUGAUAAUAAUGAACUCCGCCAUGGCCGACCGGUUCGUGCGCCAGAGCGAUUACGGGCACGAAAACGGCGUCGAACACAGGGUGCAGCUCAAGGGCAUCCGCGUGGACUGCGGUGGCGCUUCGACAAACGGCGUCAUAGCCGUGGAAAUCGAAUUCCUGGAACCGUUUUACGGCGUGAUCUACAGCAAAGGUCGACACGACGACCCCAAAUGCAGAUUUGUGCAGAGCAAUUCAGGAAAGAACACAUAUCAGUUCCAGAUACCAAUAGAAGAUUGUCGCCCCCCUGUAGAUGAUGGGUGUUCAACUAGUGAAGACGGUGGCAGUUGUGAUUUAGGCUCCAUUGAAAAUACAAUUAUCAUCCAGACAGAUAGUACAAUUCAGGAAGAAUGGGAUUUAGCACGGAAAGUGUCAUGUCCUUCAGAGACAAAACCAGGUACAGGUAAACGAGUGCGUUUCAAGCCUAUCGUAGUUGAUAUGUUAGAAGUGGUUUCUGUUCCUUCCGGGAAUGAAGGCACACUACAAUGCUGGAUGGAUAUACAAAGAGGACAAUACCCAAAUACAUCACCAGUUGACAAGAUAAUAAAAAUUGGUGAAUCACUUUCAUUAAUUGUUUAUGUAAAAAGUACUGAUGAAGCAUACGAUGUGAGAGUAAGAGAAUGUUGGGCGUAUGAUAAUGAUAAUUAUGAAUCUUCAACUACUACAAGUAUACAGUUGACCGAUUCAUCGGGAUGUCCAAAGAGAAAAAAAUUAAUAUCACAAUGGAGAAAAACUCAAUCUGUUGACCAAAGUGGUAUCACAACAAUUGGAUAUACAAAUGUCACAGCAUUCAAAUUCCCAGACAAACACCAAGUGUACCUAACUUGCAACGUUGAAUUAUGCUUGGGAAAUUGCCCCGAAGAAAGAUGUCAGGCAGCUUUACCAAACUAUCCAACAUCUCCACUUCUUCCACAAACAUCUCCAUCACCAUUCUGCUAUCCAGGAUCAAAUGACCCAAGAUGCCCCAAACCGUCACCACCUCAAACUUACUACCCUUCACCAUCAACACCGGCACCACCAGUAUGCUACCCAGGGUCCACUGAUUCCAGAUGUCCAAAACCAUCACCUCCUCCCACUUACUACCCUUCACCAUCGACACCGGCACCACCAGUAUGCUAUCCAGGUUCCAACGACCCAAGAUGUCCAAAACCAACAUUGCCACCAACCACUCCAGCACCAGUUUGCUACCCAGGGUCCACUGAUUCAAGAUGUCCAAAACCAUCACCUCCUCCAACUUACUACCCUUCACCAUCGACACCGGCACCACCAGUAUGCUACCCAGGUUCCAACGACCCUAGAUGUCCAAAACCAACAUUGCCACCAACCACUCCAGCACCAGUUUGCUACCCAGGGUCCACUGAUUCAAGAUGUCCAAAACCAUCACCUCCUCCAACUUACUACCCUUCACCAUCAACACCGGCACCACCAGUAUGCUACCCAGGUUCCAACGACCCAAGAUGUCCAAAACCAACAUUGCCACCAACCACUCCAGCACCAGUUUGCUACCCAGGGUCUACUGAUUCAAGAUGUCCAAAACCAUCACCUCCUCCAACUUACUACCCUUCACCAUCGACACCGGCACCGCCAGUAUGCUAUCCAGGUUCCAACGAUCCAAGAUGUCCAAAACCAACAAUGCCACCAACCACUCCAGCACCAGUUUGCUACCCAGGGUCCACUGAUUCAAGAUGUCCAAAACCAUCACCUCCCCCAACUUACUACCCCUCACCAUCGACACGUGCACCACCAGUAUGCUAUCCAGGUUCCAACGACCCAAGAUGUCCAAAACCAACAUUGCCACCAACCACUCCAGCACCAGUUUGCUACCCAGGGUCCACUGAUCCAAGAUGUCCAAAACCAUCACCCCCUCCAACUUACUACCCUUCACCAUCUACACCGGCACCACCAGUAUGCUACCCAGGGUCCACUGAUUCAAGAUGUCCAAAACCGUCACCUCCUCCAACUUACUACCCUUCACCAUCUACACCGGCACCACCAGUAUGCUAUCCAGGUUCCAACGACCCAAGAUGUCCAAAACCAACAUUGCCACCAACCACUCCAGCACCAGUUUGCUACCCAGGGUCCACUGAUUCAAGAUGUCCAAAACCAUCACUUCCUCCAACUUACUACCCUUCACCAUCUACACCAGCACCGCCAGUAUGCUAUCCAGGUUCCAACGAUCCAAGAUGUCCAAAACCAACAUUGCCACCGACCACUCCAGCACCAGUUUGCUACCCAGGGUCUACUGAUUCAAGAUGUCCAAAACCAUCACCUCCUCCAACUUACUACCCUUCACCAUCGACACACGAGCACCACCAGUAUGCUAUCCAGGUUCCAACGACCCAAGAUGUCCAAAACCAACAUUGCCACCAACCACUCCAGCACCAAUUUGCUACCCAGGGUCCACUGAUUCAAGAUGUCCAAAACCAUCACCUCCUCCUACUUACUACCCUUCACCAUCUACACCGGCACCACCAGUAUGCUAUCCAGGUUCCAACGAUCCAAGAUGUCCAAAACCAACAUUGCCACCAACCACUCCAGCACCAGUUUGCUACCCAGGGUCCACUGAUUCUAGAUGUCCAAAACCAUCACCUCCCCCAACUUACUACCCCUCACCAUCGACACCGGCACCACCAGUAUGCUAUCCAGGUUCCAACGACCCAAGAUGUCCAAAACCAACAUUGCCACCAACCACUCCAGCACCAGUUUGCUACCCAGGGUCCACUGAUCCAAGAUGUCCAAAACCAUCACCCCCUCCAACUUACUACCCUUCACCAUCUACACCGGCACCACCAGUAUGCUACCCAGGGUCCACUGAUUCAAGAUGUCCAAAACCGUCACCUCCUCCAACUUACUACCCUUCACCAUCUACACCGGCACCACCAGUAUGCUAUCCAGGUUCCAACGACCCAAGAUGUCCAAAACCAACAUUGCCACCAACCACUCCAGCACCAGUUUGCUACCCAGGGUCCACUGAUUCAAGAUGUCCAAAACCAUCACCUCCUCCAACUUACUACCCUUCACCAUCUACACCAGCACCGCCAGUAUGCUAUCCAGGUUCCAACGAUCCAAGAUGUCCAAAACCAACAUUGCCACCGACCACUCCAGCACCAGUUUGCUACCCAGGGUCUACUGAUUCAAGAUGUCCAAAACCAUCACCUCCUCCAACUUACUACCCUUCACCAUCGACACCGGCACCACCAGUAUGCUAUCCAGGUUCCAACGACCCAAGAUGUCCAAAACCAACAUUGCCACCAACCACUCCAGCACCAGUUUGCUACCCAGGGUCUACUGAUUCAAGAUGUCCAAAACCGUCACCUCCUCCAACUUACUACCCUUCACCAUCAACACCUGCACCACCAGUAUGCUACCCAGGAUCCACUGAUUCAAGAUGUCCAAAACCGUCACCUCCUCCAACUUACUACCCUUCACCAUCAACACCGGCACCACCAGUAUGCUUCCCAGGGUCCACUGAUUCAAGGUGUCCAAAACCAUCACCUCCUCCAACUUACUACCCUUCACCAUCUACACCGGCACCACCAGUAUGCUAUCCAGGUUCCAACGACCCAAGAUGUCCAAAACCAACAUUGCCACCAACCACUCCAGCACCAGUUUGCUACCCAGGGUCCACUGAUUCAAGAUGUCCAAAACCAUCACCUCCUCCAACUUACUACCCUUCACCAUCGACACCGGCACCACCAGUAUGCUACCCAGGUUCCAACGACCCAAGAUGUCCAAAACCAACAUUGCCACCAACCACUCCUGCACCAGUUUGCUACCCAGGGUCCACUGAUUCAAGAUGUCCAAAACCAUCACCUCCUCCAACUUACUACCCUUCACCAUCGACACCGGCACCACCAGUAUGCUACCCAGGUUCCAACGACCCAAGAUGUCCAAAACCAACAUCGCCACCAACCACUCCAGCACCAGUUUGCUACCCAGGGUCCACUGAUUCAAGAUGUCCAAAACCAUCACCUCCUCCAACUUACUACCCUUCACCAUCGACACCGGCACCACCAGUAUGCUACCCAGGUUCCAACGACCCAAGAUGUCCAAAACCAACAUUGCCACCAACCACUCCAGCACCAGUUUGCUACCCAGGGUCCACUGAUUCAAGAUGUCCAAAACCAUCACCUCCUCCAACUUACUACCCUUCACCAUCGACACCGGCACCACCAGUAUGCUACCCAGGUUCCAACGACCCGAGAUGUCCAAAACCAACAUUGCCACCAACCACUCCUGCACCAGUUUGCUACCCAGGGUCCACUGAUUCAAGAUGUCCAAAACCAUCACCUCCUCCAACUUACUACCCUUCACCAUCGACACCGGCACCACCAGUAUGCUACCCAGGUUCCAACGACCCGAGAUGUCCAAAACCAACAUUGCCACCAACCACUCCAGCACCAGUUUGCUACCCAGGGUCCACUGAUUCAAGAUGUCCAAAACCAUCACCUCCUCCAACUUACUACCCUUCACCAUCGACACCGGCACCACCAGUAUGCUACCCAGGUUCCAACGACCCAAGGUGUCCAAAACCAACAUUGCCACCAACCACUCCUGCACCAGUUUGCUACCCAGGGUCCACUGAUUCAAGAUGUCCAAAACCAUCACCUCCUCCAACUUACUACCCUUCACCAUCAACACCGGCACCACCAGUAUGCUACCCAGGGUCCACUGAUUCAAGAUGUCCAAAACCAUCACCUCCACCCACUUACUACCCUUCACCAUCGACACCAGCACCACCAGUAUGCUAUCCAGGUUCCAACGACCCAAGAUGUCCAAAACCAACAUUGCCACCAACCACUCCAGCACCAAUUUGCUACCCAGGGUCCACUGAUUCAAGAUGUCCAAAACCAUCACCUCCUCCUACUUACUACCCUUCACCAUCUACACCGGCACCACCAGUAUGCUAUCCAGGUUCCAACGAUCCUAGAUGUCCAAAACCAACAUUGCCACCAACCACUCCUGCACCAGUUUGCUACCCAGGGUCCACCGAUUCAAGAUGUCCAAAACCAUCACCUCCUCCAACUUACUACCCUUCACCAUCGACACCGGCACCACCAGUAUGCUACCCAGGUUCCAACGACCCGAGAUGUCCAAAACCAACAUUGCCACCAACCACUCCAGCACCAGUGUGCUACCCAGGGUCCACUGAUUCAAGAUGUCCAAAACCAUCACCUCCUCCAACUUACUACCCUUCACCAUCAACACCGGCACCACCAGUAUGCUACCCAGGGUCCACUGAUUCAAGAUGUCCAAAACCAUCACCUCCACCCACUUACUACCCUUCAUCAUCGACACCAGCACCGCCAGUAUGCUAUCCAGGUUCCAACGACCCAAGAUGUCCAAAACCAACAUUGCCACCGACCACUCCAGCACCAGUUUGCUACCCAGGGUCUACUGAUUCAAGAUGUCCAAAACCAUCACCUCCUCCAACUUACUACCCUUCAUCAUCUACACCAGCACCACCACCAGUAUGCUAUCCAGGUUCCAACGACCCAAGAUGUCCAAAACCAACAUUGCCACCAACCACUCCAGCACCAGUUUGCUACCCAGGGUCCACUGAUUCAAGAUGUCCAAAACCAUCACCUCCUUCAACUUACUACCCUUCACCAUCUACACCAGCACCACCAGUAUGUUACCCAGGAUCAACUGAUCCAAGAUGUCCACAAAUUACACCUAUUCAAACACCUUUUGUUUGUGUAUGUAAUAAUUCAACUCCUAAACCUAUCCCACCACCAAUAUGUUAUCCCGGUUCCACCGAUCCUCGCUGUCCACAAUUUCCUUCUUCAACUCAAUACCCACCUACGUACUUACCUCCUUUAGAAUCAAUAAACGUACAAGGAAAUAAUAAAUUCAUACAGGAAGUUACUACACAGUAUCCAUCAUACAUAUCUACAGACGAUAGUUUUGGUGGUCAGCAGCAAUUGGAUCUGUUUAAUAAAGCUUUAAAUGGUUUUAAUGUACAGAGGAGAGAUGUAGAGUCUGGUAUUCGACAUUUAAAAUCAGAGUUGAAAAAUGAAAUUGGUAACGAAAAUUUGGAUGCAUUAGACAGUUUAGGAGAUGAUGUGUUACGUGAACUACAAAAUGAACAGGAAUCUCAAAAGAAACGUUAAACUUAAUUGUUAAUUUAAAAUUAUUGCUUUAUAAUGACAUUUUGAUUUUUAAAUUAGCCUAUUCAAAUGUAUGACUUAUUUAAAUUGCUCAAGUGUUUUUGUAUUAAAUAUUGUUACCGACCAUCGUUACCAGUUACCACUAUAUAAUAAUGUUCAAUGUGUUAACUUCAUAUACUUUGUAUACAUGUUUUUUAUGUUUUUUUAUUAAAUGUAUUUUGAUAUUUAAUAUCGAUAAUUUAUUUAUUUUUGUUUUACCUAUUAAUAAAGUAUUGUAGUUGUUUCAUUAA